rnacentral:rRNA from 1 species
UACAGAGGUCUCAAGCGUUGUUCGGAUUCAUUGGGCGUAAAGCGCGCGUAGGCGGUUACUCAAGUCGGAUGUGAAAGCCCUCGGCUUAACUGAGGAAGUGCACCCGAAACUGAGUAGCUAGAGUACCAAAGAGGGUCGCGGAAUUCCCGGUGUAGAGGUGAAAUUCGUAGAUAUCGGGAGGAACACCGGUGGCGAAGGCGGCGACCUGGGUGGAUACUGACGCUGAGGCGCGAAAGCGUGGGGAGCAAACAGG